CUUUCCAGGAAAGUGUAAUAGAGGAAAUUUUGCUUCAACCUUUUGUUAUGCUUUUUAUUUGACAUUCACACUUAUCUAUUUAGAGUACUGUGAUGCUGUAACAAGCUUUUUCUUUCUCUCUUUCUUUUUCUUCUUCUUCUUUUUUUUUUUUUUACUAGAUAUACUAGAGUGAAAUUUGUGGCUCUACUUACCAUUGUUCAUUCAGGAUAGCUGUGGCUUUGAGGCGUUAUGGUAUCCUGGCAGAUAAAUUUCAGUAGUAAAUCCUUAUACUGAAAAAUAUACUUGAGAAAAUUAUGUUCUAUACACAAAAGCCAACUUAAGUUUCAAUCUCUGUUGUUUUUAAUUCUCUCUCUUUCAAAAUAUCAAAGUCUUUCAAAUGGUAACAUGGUUAAAUUCUUUGCCAAAUCCUAUGUGUUAAAAUGAAGGUGUUUUUGAGUCAUCAAAGCUUAUAAAAAGACCUUUAACAAGUAAACAGCUUCUCUCUCUCUCUCUCUCUUUCUCUCUCUCUUUUUUUAAACUGGAAGAUGUGGUAUAAGAAAACACAUUCAUGGACACCAUAUGUGAAUCAAGUUUCAUCCCAAGAUUUUGAGAUUUUUGAGAAUUCCUAGAAAAUGAGAGCUUUACAUUUAUAGUCUGAAGAAGCUCAGUCAGUGCCACUAUUUUCCUCCUGAUGUACAUACAUGAUUUAUACUGACUCAUACUGAUUUGUAUGCAUGUAUAAAACUCAAGGUGUUUUAUUUUGGUCAUUCUAUUGAAAAAUCUUUGAUAAUCUUGUUUCAGAAAAAAGAGGCCAUCACUAGUUCAGGAACAUGAAAAAUAAUCAUUACUCCAGGAUCUCUACUGUCAUUUCAAGAUUAACUUAUAUUGUUCUUGUGCUGUGAUAAACUAUCAACUUUUUUCCCAAGAAAACUAAAAUUAAAGGGACAGAAUAGAAGGAGAUAAUGGCCAGACUGGAUAAGAGUACACCACUGCAUUCCCGCAUAGGCUACGUUUCCCUUGGGAACAAUGGGUCCUGGUUGCUGUGGGUUUGGUGCAACAUGGCAGUCCGCAUCUCACACCAGAUCCUCUGGGAAAGAAAAGAACAGUGAACAGUUCUAAUUUUUUUCUCUUUGAAAAGGCUUGUGUUUGAUUUGAACUAUAUUUGUAUGAAUAUAAUAAACACAAGUUGAUGUGAAAAGAUAUUUCUCUU
rnacentral:lncRNA from 12 species